UACGUAGGGUGCGAGCGUCAAUCGGAAUUACUGGGCGUAAAGCGUGCGCAGGCGGUCUGUUAAGACCGAUGUGAAAUCCCCGGGCUUAACCUGGGAACUGCAUUGGUGACUGGCAGGCUUUGAGUGUGGCAGAGGGAGGUAGAAUUCCACGUGUAGCAGUGAAAUGCGUAGAGAUGUGGAGGAAUACCGAUGGCGAAGGCGGCCUCCUGGGCCAACACU
rnacentral:rRNA from 1 species